UUCCACUUGGUGAUCAGCACUGAGCACAGAGGACUCACCAUGGAGUUGGGGCUGAGCUGGGUUUUACUUGUUGCUAUUUUAGAAGGUGUCCAGUGUGAGGUGCAGCUGGUGGAGUCUGGAGGAGGCUUGGUACAGCCUGGGGGGUCCCUAAGACUCUCCUGUGCAGCCUCUGGAUUCACCUUCAGUAGUUAUGACAUGAACUGGGUCCGCCAGGCUCCAGGGAAGGGACUGGAGUGGGUCUCAUACAUUAGUAGUGGUGGUGGUACCAUAUACUACGCAGACUCCGUGAAGGGCCGAUUCACCAUCUCCAGAGACAACGCCAAGAACUCACUGUAUCUGCAAAUGAACAGCCUGAGAGCCGAGGACACAGCUGUUUAUUACUGUGCGAAAGACACACUACAGCAGUGGAGUGCAGGACCGGUGAAGCCUUCGGAGACCCUGUCCCUCACCUGCGCUGUCUAUGGUGGCUCCAUCAGUGGUUACUACUGGGGCUGGAUCCGCCAGCCCCCAGGGAAGGGGCUGGAGUGGAUUGGGCUUAUCGAUAGUAGUGGGAGCACCAACUACAACCCGUCCCUCAGGAGUCGAGUCACCAUGUCAGUAGACACGUCCAAGAACCAGUUCUCCCUGAAGCUGAGCUCUGUGACCGCCGCGGACACGGCCGUGUAUUACUGUGCGAGAGACACAUUGUAGUGCUGUUCCUGC